UACGAAGGGGGCUAGCGUUGCUCGGAAUUACUGGGCGUAAAGGGCGCGUAGGCGGCCUGCUAAGUCGAACGUGAAAUCCCCGGGCUCAACCCGGGAACUGCGUCCGAUACUGGUGGGCUUGAAUCCGGGAGAGGGAUGUGGAAUUCCAGGUGUAGCGGUGAAAUGCGUAGAUAUCUGGAGGAACACCGGUGGCGAAGGCGGCAUCCUGGACCGGUAUUGACGCUGAGGCGCGAAAGCCAGGGGAGCAAACGGG
rnacentral:rRNA from 1 species